rnacentral:rRNA from 1 species
CCUACGGGUGGCAGCAGUGGGGAAUAUUGCACAAUGGGCGCAAGCCUGAUGCAGCCAUGCCGCGUGUGUGAAGAAGGCCUUCGGGUUGUAAAGCACUUUCAGCGGGGAGGAGGGCGUUAAGGUUAAUAACCUUGGCGAUUGACGUUACCCGCAGAAGAAGCACCGGCUAACUCCGUGCCAGCAGCCGCGGUAAUACGGAGGGUGCAAGCGUUAAUCGGAAUUACUGGGCGUAAAGCGCACGCAGGCGGUCUGUCAAGUCGGAUGUGGAAUCCCCGGGCUCAACCUGGGAACUGCAUUCGAAACUGGCAGGCUAGAGUCUUGUAGAGGGGGGUAGAAUUCCAGGUGUAGCGGUGAAAUGCGUAGAGAUCUGGAGGAAUACCGGUGGCGAAGGCGGCCCCCUGGACAAAGACUGACGCUCAGGUGCGAAAGCGUGGGGAGCAAACAGGAUUAGAUACCCUAGUAGUC